CUGAAACCGAAAUCUGAGCUUCUAACCCCUAGGGUCCAGCCUCUCUUGGUAUGUCAUGAAGUCUGAUAACCUGUGGAAUCCUGUUGCCUCUUAACAGGAUGCUAAGAGUGGCACAUUCCAGUCAGAGUUGAACAACAGUUUGAACUGCAAAGGUCCACCUGAUUUUUUUCUGCCUCUGCUACCUCUGAAACAGCAAGAUCAGCCCUUGCUCUUCCUUCUGCUCCUACUCAACAUGAAGGCACAAAGACG
rnacentral:lncRNA from 10 species